rnacentral:misc_RNA from 1 species
AUAAUUGAUAGGCUUUUAGUUCAUCAGCCUCCACCACACAAACCAUAUCAAUUAUCAAAAAUGGCACUUGGCCUCAAAUUCCUUCUCUUGUCAUCACUAUCCUCUCAUUCUCCAGCUUUCAUUGUGCAUAAUUCACCAAACUACAAGUCGCCAAGCAAUUUUCCUUCCCCUAAUCUCAAUAAGAAGGCUCCAUCACAGCAACUCACUCCAGCUAGUAGCAACCCCACCAGAAGUCGCUUUUGCAUCUCAUACAGAUAUAACUACAACACACAAUACGAAGAUGAAGAUGAAGAUUGCUGCAGCUUUGACGAAGCGGUUGCUCUUUUCAACACGAGAGAAUACUACAAGUGCCAUGACUUUCUUGAAGCUCUCUGGAUAAAAGCUGAAGAUCCCACCAGAACUCUCGUUCAUGGGAUUCUGCAAUGCGCUGUUGGAUUUCAUCAUCUCUUUAACCAGAAUCAUAAAGGGGCAAUGAUGGAGCUGGGAGAGGGACUGUGUAAGCUUAGAAAGAUGAAUUUUCAGAGCGGACCAUUUCAUCAGUUUGAGCAAGACAUUUCUGCUGUUCUCCAAUUUAUUUAUCAAACCCAGAUUGAACUUGCUGCUUGCACAGAUGAUCUAUGUCUGGCCAUGGACCAAUCAGAAAGGUCAUACCAACUUCUUGGGAGAUAUGGUGCUGGGCAGCUUUUAUAUAAUAUAGAAAAAGAUCCUAUGGAUGGUAGUAUGUGCAUUGUAUUCUGUCCUCGUAAAUCUUAUGCUUCUGCUGACCCUCCCAGAGUAAAGCUUCCCAUUCUUGAGGCUACGAAACAACAUCUUGUGGCCCACCAGCCCUAAAAUGGUGCAAAAAAACUUAUAAUGCAUUAUAUACUCAAAAUAUAAACAUAAUAUGUCUUGAAUUAAUUAUUACAAGAAUCUCAAUAAGCAUAUUUUAAUUUACCUUUUUAUUUUUUUUUUAUUUAAAGAAGGGAUGUAAAUAAUUUUAGUAAAAAGUCAUCCCAAAUACAAAUAUUGUUACGCUUUUUUAUUUAAAAAAAAUAACUACAGCUUGAAAU